UGGGUGGUCUACAUUAGUGUGCGUUUUUCAUUAGAUUAUUGUCAGUCAUUUAAAAUUUUUCAUUAAAAUGCACAGUUGUUAUUUAAAUGCAUUUGUAUUUAUUAGGGCAAGUGUGGUCUUGGAGAGAUGGUGACUAUGGGAAAUUGGGCAGAGGUGGUAGUGAUGGCUGCAAAACCCCAAAGCUGAUUGAAAAGCUUCAAGACUUGGAUGUGGUCAGAGUCUGCUGUUGAAGUCAGUUUUCCAUUCCUUUGACGAAAGAUGGCCAAGUUUAUUCAUGGGGAAAAGGUGACAACCAGAGACUUGGACACGGACCAGAGGGACAUGUUCGUUAUCCAAAACUCUUAGAAGGCUUGCGAGGGAAGAAGGUGAUUGAUGUGGCUGCCGGCUCCACCCACUGCCUGGCUCUGACUGAGGACAGCGAGGUCCACAGCUCGGGGAGCAACGACCAGUGCCAGCACUUUGACACCUUGCACGUGACCAAGCCAGAACCUGCAGCAUUGCCCGGACUGCACACCAAACACACAGUGGGAAUUGCCUGUGGGCCUGCCCAGGAGGAUUUUCCUGGUUUGUGGCGCUCAGACAUUGCUUUACUUAUCUACAUGGUCUGAUUUGUACGUGUCGAGUUUUCCGUGGUGACGUCUGUGAGGCCGGCAGUGAUGUCCCUUCAUUCAUUCCUGAUACUGACCACAGAGUAUUCAGCCAUGGCCUCGCUGGCUGGUGGGCUGGACGACAUGAAGGCCAAUCUGGCCAGCCCCACACCUGCUGACAUCGGGAGCAGUGUGCCAGGCCCGCAGUCCUACCCCAUUGUGACAGGU